AUUGAACGCUGGCGGAAUGCUUUACACAUGCAAGUCGAACGGUAGAGGGGGCAACCCCUUGAGAGUGGCGAACGGGUGAGUAAUAUAUCGGAACGUGCCCAGUCGUGGGGAUAACGUAGCGAAAGCUACGCUAAUACCGCAUACGAUCUAUGGAUGAAAGCGGGGGAUCGCAAGACCUCGCGCGAUUGGGAGCGGCCGAUAUCAGAUUAGGUAGUUGGUGAGGUAAAGGCUCACCAAGCCGACGAUCUGUAGCUGGUCUGAGAGGACGACCAGCCACACUGGGACUGAGACACGGCCCAGACUCCUACGGGAGGCAGCAGUGGGGAAUUUUGGACAAUGGGCGCAAGCCUGAUCCAGCAAUGCCGCGUGCAGGAUGAAGGCCUUCGGGUUGUAAC
rnacentral:rRNA from 1 species